rnacentral:rRNA from 1 species
UACGUAGGGUGCGAGCGUUAAUCGGAAUUACUGGGCGUAAAGCGUGCGCAGGCGGCUUUGCAAGACAGAUGUGAAAUCCCCGGGCUUAACCUGGGAACUGCAUUUGUGACUGCAUGGCUGGAGUGCGGCAGAGGGGGAUGGAAUUCUGCGUGUAGCAGUGAAAUGCGUAGAUAUGCGGAGGAACACCGAUGGCGAGGGCAAUCCCCUGGGCCUGCACUGACGCUCAUGCACGAAAGCGUGGGGAGCAAACAGG